rnacentral:rRNA from 1 species
ACGCACGCUGGCGGCAGGCCUAACACCUGCCAGUCGAGCGCGAUCUUCGGGUCUAGCGGCGGACGGGUGAGUAACGCGUGGGAAUAUGCCCUUCUCUGCGGAAUAGACUCGGGAAACUGAGCGUAAUACCGCAUACGCCCUUUGGGGGAAAGAUUUAUCGGAGAAGGAUUAGCCCGCGUUGGAUUAGGUAGUUGGUGGGGUAACGGCCUACCAAGCCGACGAUCCAUAGCUGGUUUGAGAGGAUGAUCAGCCACACUGGGACUGAGACACGGCCCAGACUCCUACGGGAGGCAGCAGUGGGGAAUCUUAGACAAUGGGGGCAACCCUGAUCUAGCCAUGCCGCGUGAGUGAUGAAGGCCUUAGGGUUGUAAAGCUCUUUCAGCUGGGAAGAUAAUGACGGUACCAGCAGAAGAAGCCCCGGCUAACUCCGUG